rnacentral:rRNA from 1 species
AAAUAGAUACCCUGGUAGUCCACGCCGUAAACGAUGAGUGCUAAGUGUUAGGGGGUUUCCGCCCCUUAGUGCUGCAGCUAACGCAUUAAGCACUCCGCCUGGGGAGUACGGUCGCAAGACUGAAACUCAAAGGAAUUGACGGGGGCCCGCACAAGCGGUGGAGCAUGUGGUUUAAUUCGAAGCAACGCGAAGAACCUUACCAGGUCUUGACAUCCCAUUGACCACUAUGGAGACAUAGUUUUCCCUUCGGGGACAACGGUGACAGGUGGUGCAUGGUUGUCGUCAGCUCGUGUCGUGAGAUGUUGGGUUAAGUCCCGCAACGAGCGCAACCCUUGUUCUUAGUUGCCAUCAUUUAGUUGGGCACUCUAAGGAGACUGCCGGUGACAAACCGGAGGAAGGUGGGGAUGACGUCAAAUCAUCAUGCCCUUAUGACCUGGGCUACACACGUGCUACAAUGGACGGUACAAACGGUUGCCAAACCCGCGAGGGGGAGCUAAUCCGGAUAAAACCGGUUCUCAGUUCGGAUUGUAGGCUGCAACUCGCCUACAUGGAACG